AUGAUGAAAUUAGCCAAAGACAGUGUUUGGAAGUGGCAAGCAAGUGACAAUUUGCUUCUACCAAUGACUUCAGAUCUCAAACCUGUUUCAAGCAAGGCCAGCAAUGACAUCAUGUUCAAAACAGUUUAGCCAGACACACCUGUUCACACCCCUCUACUACAUAUAACCUAGAGGUACAUUUUUUCUAUACGAUUGGCAUUAGGCUUAUCCAGUUCAAUACAGUAUUUCACAAAACUUAUACCAACUUAUUCCUAAUUAUAGUGGACACAAUUAACUUACUUUGGCAACUGUUCUGAAGAGGCUGACAUCAACUACCAGUGAUGACACUCUCUUGUAAUGUUUUGGUGCUAUCUACUAAAUACUACUACUACAUAAUAUUGACAAUUCGUCUGUGUGCAGGCCCGUGAUAACCAUUUAGAUCGACCAGAAACCAAUAAGAUAUUGUAAUCACAAGCAAUCACCCAUCUCUUUGGAUGGUGCUCUAUUGUGAUUCUUUCCUCUAUGACUGUUAAAUAAGCAAUGUAUUGCACUUUUGUUAUGCAAAAGUAUGGCGACCAUGUAUCAACUAGUGUAUCUAUUUUAUACACUAAUUAUGAAUUACUAGAAAUUUUAUUACAUUAAUCAUUUUUAGAUAGUUACUCAUCUCAAACGAAAUAAACUGUUCAGGGACACUUGACCCAACAUGCUUGUGACCGACCUUAGAAUAAAUUUUUGUCACUCAAUAUAGACAACUUCUACGAGGUUAAUAUUUCUUCAAAUUUCAACAAAAUCAUUGGCCACAGGAAUACAUACACAUGUUUCCUUUGGCAUGUUAAGUAGACGGGAGCAACAUGUGGGCUGUACGCCAUUACCUUAAACGAAGCAAAAUUAUCUUGUGUUUAUCAAAGUUUGAAACCAAUUCUGAGUUAAUUACAAAGAAUGUAUGAAUAACGCAUUAUACUCAUACACCAAACUUUAAUCUGAUGGAAUCAAGUAAUUCUAUGUUAAUCAAAGUUUUUAGACUUACAAGAUGAUGGUCAAGUUUAUAUAAAAGCAAAUAACACUGAAAUCUAAUCAUCCUAUACAAACAAAUAUGAUUUAUUCAAUUAUAGCAAACAAUUGUUUUAUCGGAGUUAAUUACAUUAUUGCUAAACUUGUAUAAGCUUUCCUGUUUCAAACAUGUCUACUUAAUUACAUUAUUCAUCGACAAUGUUACUUUGCCCGUGGAAGUUUCAUUUUUUCAUACCUUAAUCACUAUUUAACGCUUCGUUUUCCAAUAGUUCUAAUUCUUCAAAUUUUGGCUUUAUUAUUCCAUAAUUAUAAAUUGAUACUAAUUUGCAGGACUCAAAUUAAAGUGGUUAAUUACUCUAAAGUAUAAUUCUAGCAGUCAAUAAUUACAUAAAAAUAAUUGCAAAAAAAAGUUAAUAAGGAAUAGUAUAAAUUUAAAAACCGCCAAAGUUACGAGAUAUAUGCUUGAUAUUUAAAUCAUGGCCAUAAUAUAUAUAUAUAUAUAUAUAUAUAUAGAUAUAUAUUAUGUGAUUCAGUUCUUAAUUAACCAUUCUAUGAAUAAAUAUGAGAAUUAAGUACAUAUUAUGCCACAACCUUAUUGAAGUGUUCCCACUACAAUAUUAGUAGUCAACAUUAGGUCUAAACACCCACAUAAAUCCAAGGGAUCUAGAUCUACAAAUAUUAACCACUCUAUGAAUAAACAUGGGAAUGAAGUACAUAAUUGCCACGGCCAUAUUGGAAUGUUUCCACUACCAUAUUCGUGUGUCAAUGUUGCGUCUAAACAUUUAUAUACAUCCAAGCAAAUUUAUAUUUGUAAAUAAAUAUAAAUAUGGAAUGAAAAUAAUAGGUAGAAAAUAUAAAUUACAAACAUUAAACUUAAAAUACAGUUGAGAAAGUAAUUAAAUCCACAAUUUAGAUCCUUGAAUUUCACACUCAUCACCUUAGCUUAAAAAAUUAGCCACUCAUAUUAAUAAACAAAACAUUCAUUUUAUUUAAUAAAUUUGUAAAAGUAUAAUACAAAAAAAUUAAAAUAAAGAAGAAGAGCAAAAAAACAAUAUCUUCUUAUUAACUACACUUCUUCAUAAAAUUCACUCUAAAUUUACACUAAAUUUCUCUAGGAAACUCACCUCUAAAAUUCUACACCCCGAAUUAUCAAAUCUCUUGCCUCUAUAUAGGCAAAUUCUAGGUUGAUCAUGUGUGGGCAUUUAGAUGAUAUUUUUGGUGAACUUGCAACCACAACCUUUAGAUGACCUUUGAUAAUCCAAAUACAAGCCAAGGGGUCCAAAAUUGCAAGUAUUGACAUGCAUAAUAAAACCGUUGAUUCAACAUAAUCAAUGGUUAUAAUGAAGUCAAAUCUGGAUCCUCCGUUGGAUUUUUUUUUUAAUUCAAGGUGGUUGAACCACUAAAUUGAUAAGUAUUAAAUCUAGUGUAAAUAAGUGCAUGUGAACUUAGACACACGACACGAUAUCAGCUUUUCAAAAUUAAUAUUAGAUAAAACGGCUACCAAUUCUUUUAAAAGUUAAAAUUAUAAUUUUUACUUUUAUUUAAUAUAUACUUUCUAGUAUUAAUCAUUGAUGAACAAUUUUUUAUUUCAUCGCCGUCUAGAUUGCCUUUAUCUUACACAAAUUUGUUUAAAACCUUUAAAUAGUUUCUAACCACUACAUAAUUUUAUCUGUCGUCCUUAAUCUUGUUAUCCACAACUGACCAACAUAUUGUUACCUAUCAUUAUAGUUGUGUAAUUCACCUUUUGUUAACUGGUUUCCUAAUAUAUUUUAAAAGAAAUGUGGCCAUCUGUUGCUCGUUGGAUCACUUGCUUUUAAAUCCAAUAAUUCCGUGAGAUAAAGACAAAACGCUUGCUAUAGUGCUACAGUUACAACAUAGACGUGGCUGUAGAGGCAGGAAAAAAAUCUAUUUGUUUAGUUACUGUACACUUUUUCAUUCAUUUUGUCCACUGCCAAAUCUUCGAGAGAAACAACACAAAUAAAAAAAGAUUUUAAGAAAUUUGAUGCCUUGUUCGCCGAAUCUCUCCACUUUUAAUUAGUGUCGUGAUCCUGAUCGUGUGAUCUGGUGAUGGUAUGACAAUUACUUUGGAGAAAACACCGGCCCACUUUGAAUAAAAUAAAUUUUAUACCAAAUGAAUCAUAAGGCAAAACACUGCACUUACCUAUCCAUGCUGAUUAAACCCCCUCGCCGACACCUCUGCUCUCACCAUCAAGGCAUCAACACUUAAUAAUGACAAUUGGUUGUGUUAGCAUUUUGGUCAAAACGCUGGACCCCCCGGCCCCCACAAAAAACAAAAAAAAUUUAUGAUAAUAAUAACAUUCAUAAAUAAAAAUUAAUAAUGGGUGUGUUAGCAUUUUGGUCAAAAGCCGAUUUGGCCUUCACAUUAAUUGGAAUUUUGGAUCUAUAAUAUGAUUUUCACCGAAAAGAUAAUUUUGCCGCUAAUUAUUUGGGUAGUCAGAUAAUAAUAACAAAAAAAAAUGUUAUCUCUCACCUAUAACUUGAGGAGAUAAUAAUAAAAGUCUUUCAUCAUACUAUACUGUUUAGUUUCUCUUCUUCAUUUUUUUCCCCUUUGAAGUCUUUCAACAAAAAUGGGUGGCAUCAUCUCAACCUUCUUCUCAGCGGACACAAUUCGUCCAAUUUUAUUUUACGUCGGUGGACAAGCAAAGUAUAUAUGGGGUCUUAUAGGUAAUCUCGAUGACUUGCAAACUGAAAAGGAGAACUUGAUUGCAAAAAAACUAGAUCUACUGAAUAAGGUUAGGCUUGCUGAACAACAACCCCGAAACAGACGGACACCGACGGUGGAACUUUGGUUUAGAAGGGUGGAAGAAAUAGAAACUAAAGUUGAGAGGCUGCAACAAGAAAGAGAUCAAGAGAUUGACAGAUUGUGUCUUGGAGGCUUCUGUUCCAAGGACUUGAUUUCAAGCUACGACUUCGGCAAAAAGGUGGAGAAGUUGAAGGAAGAAGUAAUCAAAUUGUGGGAAAAAGGAGAAGCAAUGAAAGAAGUUUAUGAGGGGGUACCAGAAGGUGCAGCGGUUGCAAUGGCUGUUGACCGAACAAUUGUUGGUCAAGAAUCCAUACUUGACCAAGUUUGGAGAUGCAUCACUGAGCAAAAAAAGAAUAAUGGAAUUAUUGGCUUAUAUGGUAUGGGGGGCAUCGGCAAAACUACUCUGUUAAAACAAGUCAAUAACAAAUUCUGCAGUGAGGAGCAUGAUUUUGAUGUCGUUAUCUGGUCGGUUGUAUCUAGAGAGCCAAACUUGAUGCAGAUUCAAGAGGAUAUUGGGAAAAGGAUAGGCUUCUCAAAAAAUUCAUGGCAGGAUAAAAGUUUUGAAGAAAGGGCUUCAGACAUCACCAACACUUUAAAGCAUAAGAAGUUUGUAUUGUUAUUGGAUGAUAUAUGGGAGUCCGAAAUUGAUUUAACCAAAUUGGGCGUCCCUCUUCAGACACUAGAUUCUGGGUCCAGAAUAGUCUUCACAACUCGUUUUGAGGGUACUUGUAGUAAAAUGGGAGCCCAUAAGAAUCGGUACAAAGUGUUUUGUUUGGGAGACGACGAUGCCUGGAAAUUAUUUGAGGGGGUGGUCGGGAGAUACGUUCUUGACAAGCUUUCCGACUUUCCGACGCUAGCCAAGGAUAUGGCACGUCAGUGUCAUGGUUUGCCGUUAGCACUCAAAACAGUAGGCAAUGCCAUGGCGAGCAAAGUGUACCCUGAAGAAUGGAAAGAAGCAAUUGAGAUCCUAAGCGCAUCAGCUUCUAAAUUCGAAGGUAUGGAGAAAAAGGUGCUUUCGAGCUUAAAGUUCAGCUAUGAUAGUUUGCCGAAAGAUGAACUUCGAUCUUGUCUCCUGUACUGUUGUUUAUUUCCCGAAGACUAUGAAAUUGAAAAAACCGACUUGAUGGAGUAUUGGAAAAGUGAAGGAUUUCUGGAUUCCAGCAGCGGGUGGGGGGUUCUUGGUGCUCUCGUUCGUGCAUGCUUAUUGGAGGAAGGAGGUGACCAUGUAAAAAUGCACGAUAUGAUCCGUGACAUGGCAUUAUGGAUAGCAAAUGAAAUAGAGGAGGAGGAGGAGAACUUUUUGGUUCGUGCAGGAGUUGGAUUAACUGAAGCCCCAAAGAUUGAAGAAUGGGAAGGGGUCAAAAGGAUAUCUUUGAUAGAUAAUGAAAUUCGGAGUCUACCAGAAAUUCCCACUUGUCCGCGCCUGCAAACAUUGCUUCUGGAAUAUAAUUGUAUUAAGGAGAUCACGGACAUUUUCUUUCAAUCCUUGCCUUCGCUUAGAGUUUUGAAUCUAAGUGGAAAUGAUUCCCUAACUGAACUGCCUGUAGGGAUUUCAAGUUUGGUUUCAUUACACCAUCUUGAUCUGUCUUGGACUGAAGUGCGCGGAUUGCCGCAAGAGCUCAAGGCAUUGGUGAAUCUGAGAUAUUUGAACUUGGAGUAUACAUAUGAAAUGCGUAAAAUUCCACAGCAGCUGAUAUCAAGCUUUUUAAAGUUACAGGUACUCAGGAUGCUGUGUUGCGGUCAAAGUCACCAGCCAAUAGUGGAAGAAGGCAACGUUCUAUCUGAUGAUGCUGAAUCAUUGAUGAAGGAAAUCCACUGUUUGGAACAAUUAAAUCUCAUCACCUUGUCCUUACAUGGUUCGCGUGGUGUUGAAAACUUUCUGAAAUUCCCAAAGCUGCAGAAUAUCACUCAAGCUCUGCACAUCAAAGACUGCAACAGUCUACCGCUCAAUUUGUUGCAUCUAGCAAACAUGGAGCAUCUUGAGGAGUUAGAUAUCGAGGAUAGUAAUUUGGAAGACUGGAAUGUCGACUGCGCGGGAGAGGUACAAAAAAUGCGUAAACUUCACUCGGUUGCCAUACGGAAUUGCUCAAAUGUGAAGGACUUGACGUGGCUUGUUUUUGUUCCAAAUCUCAAGUGGCUGCAAAUAUUUCAUUGUGAUGACAUGGAAGAAAUAAUCAGUGUUGAAAAAUUGAGUGAAGUUUCAGAGAUGAUGGGAGGGCUUAACUUGUUCGCAAAACUCGAACUUCUGAUAAUAAAAAAUGCAAGUAAUUUGGAGCGCAUCUACCGCGAUCCCUUGCCCUUUCCACAGCUGGAGACAAUUUCCAUAUCGCUAUGCCCAAAGUUGAAGAAGCUCCCGCUCAAUUCCAGCAGCGCAAAGGGACGUAAAAUUGCCAUUUACGGGGAGAGAAAAUGGUGGGAAGAGCUACAAUGGGAGGAUCAAGCCACUCAAAAUGCUUUCUCGCCCUGUUUCCUACCUUUAAGAAUAAUGAAGUACAAUAAGGAGCAAGAGUGUGAAUAAAAUUCCUGCGUGUGCUUAAUGAUUAUCUUGUCUAUCCAUUUCAUUUAAUUUAAAAGCUUUCUACGGUGUUGCGUGUGUGUCACUUGUCAUUCUUCUGCACUGCUGUUUCCUAUUUCCAGUUGAUAAAAUUUUUUUGUUCUUAGAAAUGCUUUGCUGGUAAUAUAUUCUAUUUACUUUCCUCCUAUUUUCAUUACAGCUAAUAAUUGCAUAGUUGUAUAAUUUUUUAAUAUUAUCUUUAUUUUUAAAUAUACUUUUAUUUAUAUUUAUUAUAAAUUAAAUAAAUGUAUGAAUAGAAAUUAAAAUGAAAACUAAGUAUUAAAACAAGAAAUAUAUAUUUUGAUUUGAAUAAAAAUAUAAAUAUUUGUUUGUACUUUUUUUAUAUAUAUUCAUUAUAAGAAAAUAUUUAUAAAAUAAAAAGUGUAAGAAAAAUAUCUUAUUAUUAAUUUUUAUUCACAUCAAAACAUAUAUUUCUUACUUUAAAUACUUAAUUUUUUAUUCAAAUUAUCAUUCAUAUGAUUUAUUUAAUUUAUAAUACAUAUAAAUAAAAAUAAUAUUGUAAAUUAUGUUGUUAGAAAUUAUUAGUUAUUAUAAAAAUAAUAUGGGAUAAAUGGUAAAUCGGAGAUAUUGUUUCCUAUUUUCAGCUAAAAAAUUUAUUUGUUCUAAUAAUUGCUUUGCUAGUAAUAAGGCCUGCAAGUUGCUUAACUGAAUAUGACUUCUUUUUUAAAAAUGUUACUAUCAAUUUCGAUGAUUGAUUAUCUCGAAGUAGUGAAAUUUAUGUAAUGUUGGUAUUAAAAAAAUUUGUGCUACUGAUAAAAAAAAGUCCAUUAGAUUCGGCCUAAAUGACGGAUCGUGGCUUGAUUUUCUCAUCCCAAAGGCUCUGUAUCUCACUUUCGAAAGUAGUUUUAGCAUAAUGUAGGUGAAAAAUUAAAAUAUUCUGCGAUCUCUAUAUAGCUUUUCCAACAGAUUUCACCCAUUUGACUGUAGACCAAAGCAUCCAUUGGAUCGAUGCAUUUAUUAAGAAGAGGAUCAUUCGGAGCUACAAUUGGAGGAUCGAGUCACGCAAAGAGUUUUCUCUACUUGUUUCGAUCCUAUGGAGAUAGAGUUUUCAUAGAUUGAUGGUAGGAGCUUUUUUGUCAAUUUAUGUAUCUAAUUGUGUUUAACAUGCUUUCUUGUCUUUCAUAUCAGACAUUGUAAAUUUGUGAUGUUGCCAUUUUCUUUUUCCUAUCAAGAAAGAAAGAGCAUUGCGAGUAGUCUUUCCAAUUUUCACUCCUUUUUGGUAUGUGAAGAAAAAUAAUAAAGCAAAACAAACUAGUGUUGGAGAAAAAGAAAAUGACAAGUUCAAUAGGGCAAAAGUUCAUCAUCCCUUUACCAUUUGCUCAAGCAAGUAAGCUUUACGUUUACUUCUUGAGAUUUGAACUAACCAGACAACUUGUAAUGUUACCAUAAAGUUCAAAGAUUAGAAGAGAAAAACUUAUGUCUGUUAGGCACUAUUAUUCAGGCUUAAAUAAUAACAAUAAAAUACUACACCAUGUCUGCUCUCUUUUACUUUUCUUGGUUCUGUUGUAAAAUUCAGUUCUAUUUGAAGGAAAUUAUUAACAUCAAAACUAAAUACUUCGUGAGCAUCUACUGACAACAUACUCCAGAUGACACCAUAACCAUAUCAUAUAAAGCAAGAAAUGUGAAAUAAAUACAAAAUGAAUCAUAGGAGGGAAUUACCACACUCUGCGGUCUCUCCUGCUAAACCCUGCAGUUAGAAUGCCAUUUGUCGUGAGCACCCGAAUCCCCAAAGGACUCCCAGCUUCAGGUGGCUUUGACUUAGCUUGCUUUAGCUCCAUUGCACAUACUCACUCACAUGAAGGAAAUGAACAGAACAAGAAACCUCAUCAUGCCGAAUAUGAUAGAUAUGACAAGGCAUUACACUGUAGGAAGCUCCCGAUUUCUCUACAAAACUCUGCAGGUUCUCCACAAUCAAGGCGUGCUCCAUCUUUAACAGAUCACUUCUACCAUUAAGAGAAGGAAGAGAGUUCCUCUCGUGUGGCAGUAAAUCCUUACUUAACACAGGAUUGAAGCCAACCAAGAACGGAAGGCAAUUUCGUUAGAUUAAGAACCGAAUCACCAUCCAUUUGAACCAGAACUCUUGUUAAAUUCUUGAAAUCUCCUGCUUUCAUCAGUCUGUAAGAGAAAUGAAGAUGAGAAUAAUAGCCAGAACCGGAUUAAAUUCAAUCUGGUCUUUUGAAGACUUCUAUAACAACUAAGAGAACCCAGUGUACCGCCUACAGAUACUGCCAGGCUUCUAUCAAAUAUCCCAAACACCAAAAACCAACCAAAUUAAGCUAACAAACCUGCAUGAAUAUCUAAAUUUCAAUGCACAUGAAACAAACUCCGUCUUCAAUCCACCAAAACUAGCAAAUUUCAAACUUUAUCACUCAUCAUUCUCUCUCUGUCAGCUGUACGAGGCUAUGAGAUCAUGUUAUAAUGUUCAUAUUGAUGCUGAAUGUUUUGCCAGCUUGUCUGAAUUCCAUAAGAGAAUGCAAUGUGCACAUUAUUGUGCCUUGCCCACCAGUAGAUUCUAAACCACAAAAUCAUUCUGUGAAGUAGCUGACGUUUCGCACAUUCUUAUCCCUUAUCAUCAAUAUUCUUCUCCUCAAGCUUAGAUCAUGGAAAUUUGAGUGACAAACAUGAUAACAUCGUAACACCAUCAAAACUUUAGGGGCAUAAAGUAACAUAGAAGCAACAUGGGAUGUUUUAAAAUCUAUUAUAAUUUGCUUAGGCCCCUGAAUAAAAUUAAAACUUGUAAUGAAAUAAAGUAGCAAAAUAAAGAUUGGAGGUCGCAUGCUUGAUAUUUGAUGCUGUCAAAAUUAAUUUGCAGUGCUGAAAUUGCUGCUCCAAUAAAUUUUUCAAUGGGAUUUCUAUAUUUACAACAAAUUUUCAGUAUUGAAACAGGAUUAAAAUCAUAAAGUGUCUUUUAAACAGCAGAGGCAACAAGAUCCUACAGAAAAAGAAGGCAAAAAGUAGUUACAAGCUACAGAAACGCAAAUAUUCUACUGGCCAACUCCCACUAAAUUCGAAGCGAUUCUAAAAUCUCAGCUUGUACUACGACAUCAUUCCUUCUAUGUGGCCCAACUGUACUUCACCCAGAAAUCACAUUUCUUCAUCAGAGAUAAUUUUACUUCUAAUAAGAGAGAAUUUUUUAUAUGCAUGGCUUUACAGUAAUGAAUAAUUUUCCUUAAAUCUUUUCUAACAGACAAGAAAGCACAAAGCACAAAAAUUGAUAUAAACAACUUUUCUCGAAGCUUUUUCAUAAGAAAACCUGAACAUGAUUGCUUCUCUUAGAAGGCCCCCUAGCUUCCUGCAAGAACCUUGUGCCCCCAAAAAAAACAAAGGAUUAUAAUUAGGCAUAAGGCUCCCAAUGUUCUUGCAGGAAUUAUGAUGAAUAUGAGAGUUUCAAAAAAGAAAAAAAAAUAUUACGACAACCUCUAGGCGGAGGAAAUCAGUUUUCUAGGAAUUCGUUAGAUUGGUGAAGUUAUAGAACCGCAGCAAUUUGCUGUAGUUUGGAAUGUUUUUGCCUUUCAUUAUAGCAUUUGAAAAGGCUCAAGGAUAUAGAAGAACCUUGGCUACAAAUUCAGGGAAGAUUUCACUUAUAAUGAGAAAUAAUCACCAUUAUUAUAUACAAUGAGAAAACAGUUAUGGAAGAAAUAGAAAGAAUUACCCGAAACGGAGGAUUUGGAAGACAAUGAGACAAAAGUAUAAAGAAGAAGAAAUUGGAGAUAUAAUGACUGCCUAUUUCUUUGAUGAACCCAUCAAAAACGGCUUGAAAAUUAAAGAAAUUGUAAAAUGCUGUAACGGAGGAAUUGAAACUGUAAAAGAUGCAAGUUAAUUCAUGGGGCUGGCCAUCUUGAUUGAUUGAACACCUAUUAGAUUUUUAAUAUUAAAGAACUCACUUUAAUGAUGUUUAAUUGGUAGUAGCCCUUUAUAGUCUUUAAACCUUUAGCAGUGCAAAGUCACAAGCUUUGUCCAGAAUCUAAUGGCGUAGAUUAUAGGCGAUGGGUGCCAUCACCUGGGCAACGACGUACAUCGCUUGGGCGACAAGCCAAUUUACUAGGCUCAUCGCAAACAGCCUUCGUCGCCUGGGCGAUGGCCAAAUCCAUCCAAUAAACUUUCAGCUCAUGUUUGAUAGUCUAAAAAAAGUAGUUAUGGUGGCCAUCACACAUCACAUUUUACUGACAAGCUGUCUUAAUUUUCAUAGAAAAUUGUUCCUACUGAUUUUCCAAUACUGGCCUAAUACUUGCAGAUUAUUAAACGAUUAUGGAAUGGCAGCAAACCGGCGCCGCAGGGGGGGGCCGGCCGGGGUUGUUGUGCCAAUUUGGGAGGGGUAAUAAACCCUCUGAGGCAAUUUAGCAAACAUAUUAUCCACUUCCAAAUAAAACAGAUUCUAGUAAAUGCGAUAAAGAAAUGUUUAUUUCAAUUUCCAACCCAGAUCUCAUAAAGAAUUUCUCACUCUAAUAAACAAAUAAAUAUUAUCUGGUAAUGGUAUGACAUUUAUUUUGAAGUAAACACUGGCCCACUAUUUUCUCAAUUUUCCAUUGUUUGAGGACACCAUUUUCUCAAUUGAAGAACAUGUUCUGGCCAAAAUUCACAAUUUUCUCCACGUGAUUUAAAGCACACAGGAUUCACACUUUUCUCCACGUGAUUUAAAAGCACACAGAAUUCUCCUGACCUUAAUUACGGAUCUUAUUAUGUUUAUUGAAAUCCAAUAUUGUAGACUCAUUGUUGUAGCUAGAAAAUCAUAUUAAUAGAGUAAAAUUUAUAAAUAAUCAAAGAAAAGAGUUCACGCUCUUACUUCAUUACUUUUAUAAUCUUAUUAGUAUAUCUACUUACAUGUCUUCAGAAAAUACAGUUUUAAGAGGAUAUUUUUAUUUUUCUUCGUAAUAAUAGAUUUAAUUUUCAUCUUUCUAAUGUUAAGUUGCAUAUUUGGAGUAAAUAAGAUUAAAUUUCAAAUUAGAUCACAGACCCCAUUUUAAUAGAUUCAAUUGGAUUUUGGACAUCUAAUUAAACAACUGGACUAAUAAAUUGCAAAUGAAUGAGAUUUAUAUGUGAUUUUAAAAUAAAAUUUGAACUCAAAUCUAUGUAUUUAAUUAAUCCAACAGGACAAAUUUAUAAUUUUCACCAACUAAAUAAAAUAUGUUAUCAGAAGCUUUUGGACCAAGUCGCGCACUUCGUGGGUCUGCUACUACUUAUAGUCCAUUCUCAUUCAACUUUCACAUCUUUUAUAUUAUGUACAAAUUGGAUAAUAUUCUAAAAAAGUGUUUCUAAUUGUUUAACGUUUUAUUUCUGGGUAUAUUUAGAGAUUAAAAAAUAUGGGAAACAUAAUUAAUUUUAUCAAAUAAAAAGGAGUAUUGUUCAUUUUUUCAUAAACAAUGUGUUAAAAUACUUUUGGUAUUUAAGAAGUAAAAAUUUUUAUUUUUGUUUCAUAAAAAGCAUUCAAAAUUAUAUUAAAUAAAAUUAAAGAUUAACAAAACUGACAUCUGAAUUUCGUGCAAAUUAUAAUAAGUUUAUCUCCAGCGUGAGUAACAUUAAAGCUUGGCUAGCAUCAUCAUAUUUUGUCUCCAGCAUCAAAAUUCUGAUAACAUCAACAUCAUAAUUCCAAGGUUGUCAAAACUAAUUAUCAAAUUAAAAUCCUUUGUGAUUUAAGCUCUCUUGGACUUUUAAAAAUGUUAUGCCACCCCUUCUUUAAUAAUAGUAGUAUAUGAUUAUGAUUUAAUUAUUUUAUUUUUUAAUUUAUCAAACACCAAUCACUUAAAUUAAACUCAAGAAAAAAAUUAGAACAUCAAAGAAUUUUAAUUGCUUCUUAUUAAGUACUAGAAUUAACUUCUCCCAAUGAUAAUUUAUUAAGCAAACCAUAAUGAUCAUCUUACACUAAAGAACCAACCCAUCUUCAAAACACAAGAAUUUAGUACAAAUAAUUAUCCCAAUAAAGUUUAACGAAAAAGAAAAGAGAUAUUUUUAUUAUUUCUUUUACUUUCUUAGUGGCUCUGCUACUACCUAUAGUCCAUUCUUAUUCAACAUACAGAUCUUUUAUAUUAUAUGCAAAUUAAAAUAUAUUCUAAAAAGUGUAUCCAACUGGUUAACAUAUUAUUUCUAGAUAAUAAUCAAUUUUAUCAAAUAAAAAGGAGUUUUGGUCAUUCAUUUGGCUCCGUUGCCACUGUUGUACGCUACAAGAGCUUUUGUCUUUGCUGACUCAGUUACUGUAAAAUGUCGUUCAGCCCCUUAUACUCUAUUUUAUUUAUAAGAAUUAUAAAAAUUUCUAAUUACCUACACUUUCAAAAUUCAAUUUAUCUCCUUACAAUCUUUUUCAUUUACUUUUUUUUGUAAGUAUUAAAAAGUUUCUAUUUACAACCACGACAUAGUAAUCAUCAUAACACACGAAUAUUUAUAAAAAUAUAAAAAUAUCAUUAAAUUAAUACUAAAAAAUGUUUUCCUCUCUUGAGGAAUUAUGGUAUCUCAUUUUCGAUCACUCAUUAUCAACAAAAUUUUCAAAGAUAUGACCAUUCGUCUUCUUUAUAAUAUCAUCUUAUAAUAAUUAAUACUUUCAUGAUUAAAAAAAUUAACAAAAUAAAGAUAAAUUCCCUUUGAAUCCAUCCCUCUCUACUAUCAUUUUCUCUUCAUUAGCAACAUUUAUCAAUAAUUGAAGCCACCAUCAGACUCAUCACACAGAGAGAGUGAGAAAGGGGAAGAAGAAACGGGAAAAAAAAAUAUAUGAGACAUUUACAAUUUUAUAGUAUGUUUAUUCAACGAGAUUCAUAUAUAGUUGCUAAGGGGUUUCAUUAGACAUAGGGAGUUUAUUACACUGAAACUUUUAAUCCAGUAGUUAAGGCCUCAACAAUCAGAGUUAUUCUUAGCCUAGCAGUACUUAACAAGUGGAUAAUCAGACAAGUGGAUAUUAAUAAUGCCUUAAUGGCAUUCCAGUUGAAGAAGUUUACAUGGCACAACCUGAGGGAUUGGUGGAUCCUACUAAACCCCAACACAUCUGCAAAUUAAAAAGGACUAUAUAUGGCUUGAAGCAAGCUCUCGGGGCUUGGUUUGAUAGAUUCAAAGCUGCAAUGAUUACUCAAUGACAUUUUCAACACUCAAAAUCAGAUAAAAAAUAUCAAAAUAUUUAUAUCAUUAAACUUUUAGGCCUAAUUAACUAAUUAAAGUUCUAAAUUUUUAUUUAGGACAUUAAAAAGACCGGAUAGAUUCUAUUAGCCCAAAAAUUUUGUUUUAAUUUUAAUAUCUAUUAAAUAUUUUAAACUUAAAUCUAUUUUUUAUUUAUUUUUAGAUGUUAUAAUUGCCCACAGCGAAUCACAAUUUUAAUAUCUAAUCUAAUUUAAUCUAAUAUUUGCUCUUGAUUUGCUCUUACUUAACUAUUGUGCUGUAAAGGGAAUAGUCCACAUUUAUAAAGUGCCCACGCCACCAUUGAAAAAGUUAAUUUUGAAUCUAAAUUUGAUUUUAUUUGUAACAAUUUUGUAUUAGACUAUUAAUUUAUUUAUGAUAGUUUGUAAAAGAAGUUUGUAUCCCUUGCAUGCUGCAUUACUUACUAAUUUAAUGUAUGUGACUUUUGUAAUGGAUAUUAAUGCAAGAUAUUUUUCGAACUUUACUUUUAUUUUAAUAUGAUUAACUCAAAUCGAAAACAAAAAAAUGUAUUAAUUAUUCGGGAAUCGGGGACCCUCAAGGAUCCCCUAUUAUUAUUCGGGGAGGAGAUAGAGAUUCUCUUAAGUAAUUCUGACGGGGACGGGAAGGGGAUGAGGACAUACACAAAAUAUUGGGGAUGGUUACGGGGAGAUUGGUCCCCUCCCCUCCCCUCCCCAUUGCCAUCCCUAACUCCCUGACUAAAUAAUUUGGGAAUAUAAGGAUGCAAUAAGAAUUGAGUGGUCUUUAUUCCCAUAGCUUUAUUUUUUUCUCGCUUCAUCCGUGCUCUAUUCAAUCUUUAUGUGUCGCUUGUGUUAUGUUCCUGCGUAUCUAAUUACUUUUAGAUGCUAGUUGAUAUUUGACAAUUUUGCAGGUUAAGGAUAUUAGAUGGGACGCAGAACUUGGCAGUCAGAACAUGGAAUUACGGUUGGUUGAAUACUUUGCAGAAGAGUUUAAUAAACAAGUUGGUAAUUGGGUGAUGUGAGGAAAUCUCCCAAGGCCAUGGCUGAACUGAAGAAGCAAGUUAAUUAAACAAAAAUAAUUCUUUGUACGAACACAAUGGAACCAAUAUCAGUUAAAUCUCUCCAUGAUGAUAGGGGCUUCAGGUAGGUGGAGUUCAAGUUCAGAUUUUACUGUUUGAGGUGUGUUUAAUUUUAUUAUCAAAAUUAAUGUGUUCUUUAAAUGGGUGAGGAACUGCAGAACAUGACAAAUAGAGUUUGUUGUGUGAGGGUGAGGAACUGCAUAUUCUCUUACGAGUGCUUUGUUCUUUAAUAUAGCACUAUAAGACAUCUUCUGAUGAAAAAUAGAGUCAAUAAAAUGACUCCAGACUGACUGAGCUGAUACAUUUUUUAUUCCAAUUCUUACAAGAGAUUUUUUCUUUCUUUUUUUUUUUCAAGUUUACUAGUGGUACUUUCAUUUGGUAAAUUAUUCUAUAUAUAUAUAUAUACUCUAAUCAAUUAUAUUGGCUUAUUUUACUUUUAUUUUGAAUCACGCUGCUGGUAUAUAUAAAAUUUAUUUAUUAAUUUUGGUGAAAAUUUUGUUCUGUUGCACACAGAUAAUAAACCCAAAUACAUUCACAUGCAUAUAUGGGGUUUGUUUUGUCUCUUAGGAGCAGCAUUACCUGUCAAAAGCUCGAAGAGCUCUAUGAACUUAUGCAUUCAGGGUUGAAAAUGGACGAGAUAUAUGCAGUGGAGUUCAUUGGAGGAGCUACUGUAGUGCCAAAGUUGCAGGUUUGAACUAUCUGCUUUGUUUUGGUAGUUAACCCGAGUAUUAAAUUCUUGAGGCAUGUAAGGUAGUAGACUUUAGCCAAUUCAAGAGUAGAAUAUAAUAUGUUUACUUGUUUUGAUCUUAAUCUUUAAUCACUUAGCCUGAAUAAGAAAUAAUUUUUUUAUAUUUGCUCUGCAAUGAUGUUAUUCAGUGUUAAUAGCUUUGUUACUCUUUUCCGCACAGAUUCUUGAUCUCAAAAGAACUUUUAUUUUGAAUAUUCUGCAUAAGGACAAUCUCAUUUAAUACCAUCAGUGAUUUUUCAUUUUUUUCUCUUUAGUUUUAAUAUGUUUGAUAACUGUAUGGCUAAGCAAUCUAUGCAAUUUUAUCUUGUCGUAUGUUUGAGCUCAUUUUUUGUUGCAAUUCUGAAUAUUUGGUAUGAAUUAUGUGAUACCGGACAAUACUGUUAACUUGUUAAUUUCUUAAUUUUAAUAUCUUGUCAAAGUCACUAAUAGCAUUUCAUCAUGCUAUGAGUUAAACAUGGAACAAAUGACGACAUGCAGUUGUGGAAUGUGGUAGAUCUCUGGAAUUCUAUGUCCUUAUGCUUGCAGGGCAACACAAUACAUUAGUUAAAACAUUAAAGACUAUGAUGUCCGCAGAAAAUUAUAUGUCAACAUAUGCACCAGGCAUGAUGAAAUUAGCCAAAGACAGUGCUUGGAAGUGGCAAGCAAGUGACAAUUUGCUCUACCAAUGACUUCAGAUCUCAAACCUGUUUCAGGCAAGGCCAGCAAUGACAUCAUGUUCAAAACAGUUUAGCCAGACACACCUGUUCACACCCCUCUACUACAUAUAACCUAUAGGUACUUGUUUUCUUUACAUUCUUUCUAUACGAUUGGCAUUAGGCU
rnacentral:lncRNA from 1 species